AAUACAAUAUAAAACAAUAUUAUAGAGCGGUUUGUCAUUUUCAUCAUCGAAGCCAUAAUAAUAGACAAGUUGAUCUUUAUCUUAGAACUAGUGGAUAACUAGCUUUAAUAUACCUGGUAUUAUUUCAGGUAACUUUCUUAAGAUUAUCUUGCAUUUCGUAUUAUACAAUAAUCAAUUUGAACUUUUAUUUACAUUUUAUUUAACUUUAAGCGUUUGAAUUGUGUGCUAACAAUUUGUGUUUAAAAAGUUUUUGAUCAGGUUGAUUUGAUUGAUCCUUUCAUCGUAAAUUACCCUAAUUAAAUAAACACUAUUUAGAUAAUGAUUGAUCUCAAUGAUUUUUCAUCUGCAUCUGAUUUCCAAUGGCUAUAUUGAGUUAUUUGAAACAGAAAAUUAUAUAAUAUUAGAAACAAAUCAAACGUUGGUAUGAUUAGGGCAACCUAAUCACGUAAACUAUUAAUAGGAGACAAUUAACAAUCUAAAUAUCAUGUAAAUCUUAUUUUGUCUGAUAGUCAACUUAUGUGAAACUGAAACAUUUGAUACAACAAAGAUGCGGCACAACGAAAGGAUUAGGUGUCUCAUUUGGACUAACUAACAUUGAGUUUAUAUGUAAUUCAUAAUUUAGGUGCAGAGGAACCGCACUUGUGUCACAAAAGGAUUAAUGCUAAUGCCAUUGAGAUUGAUUGGAAGUCUGUUAUAAUUUGUGAUUUUAGUCAAGGUUAAGUAAAUUCUGUUCAUUCGUAAUCAAGAACCGAUAAAUGAGACGUCAAGUGAAUUAUUUUAUACCAUUUGAGCGUCACACUGAUUGACCUUUCACAUGAAAAAGAUACUAAUUGAAAAGUAAAAGUUUAAAUAUCAAAAUUUGCCAGUUCAACUGUUGAACGGAAUCAAGCUUUUCUGAAUCUAACCUUCAAAACUUAAAAUUUAAUUUUCCUCUCACUCUGUGGUAACUUGAUUGUGAUUAAGGGAGAAAAGGCUAAAUAAAUAUGACCUGAUCAACUAAAUUUAGUUUCAUUAUAAUCAAAUCUUUUGAAUGAUAUUUUUGUAUGAAUUGAACAGUUAGAAAAUCAGUUUCUAUUGUUGAAACCUUUUUGUUUUUGUUUGGCCUUUUCAAUUUGUUUUGGCUUGGUUUUGCAUCUAUUACUACAAUCUAUUGAUGGAUCUUCGGGUUAAAUCACUUGUUAUCCUAAUCGCCAUCUUCUUACUGGUCAUUCCAAAGUCAACCGACGGAAUCUUCUAUCGCCAUUACUACCGGUACCCAUAUUACAGCUACUAUCCAUAUUAUGGUUAUUACAAUAAUCCAAGACUUUAUGGACUCUAUCGUUCCCCAUAUUAUGGAUAUUAUGGUUGACAAAGAUCAAGUGGCCCUCAUUUCGUGAAAUUUUUAAUCCAAAGGCUUGAUAACCAAUAAUGAAUAAUGAUCAAUCAUCUUAAUUUAAUAAUUCAUACAGCUCAUA